rnacentral:rRNA from 1 species
CCUAGACUUGACAUCUCCUGAAUUACCCUUAAUCGGGGAAGCCCUUCGGGGCAGGAAGACAGGUGGUGCAUGGUUGUCGUCAGCUCGUGUCGUGAGAUGUUGGGUUAAGUCCCGCAACGAGCGCAACCCUUAUUGUUAGUUGCUACCAUUUAGUUGAGCACUCUAGCGAGACUGCCCGGGUUAACCGGGAGGAAGGUGGGGAUGACGUCAAAUCAUCAUGCCCCUUAUGUCUAGGGCUACACACGUGCUACAAUGGCUGGUACAGAGAGAUGCUAAACCGUGAGGUGGAGCCAAACUUUAAAACCAGUCUCAGUUCGGAUUGUAGGCUGAAACUCGCCUACAUGAAGCUGGAGUUGCUAGUAAUCGCGAAUCAGAAUGUCGCGGUGAAUACGUUCCCGGGCCUUGUACACACCGCCCGUCACACCAUGAGAGUUGGCAAUACCCAAAGUUC